UUCACUUAAACAUUAUCGAGU
ensembl:piRNA 21ur-10291 ncRNA